AGAGUUUGAUCCUGGCUCAGGAUGAACGCUGGCGGCGUGCUUAACACAUGCAAGUCGAACGGUGAAAGGGAGCUUGCUCUCUGGAUCAGUGGCGAACGGGUGAGUAACACGUGAGCAAUCUGCCCCUGACUCUGGGAUAAGCGCUGGAAACGGCGUCUAAUACCGGAUACGAGCUGUGAAGGCAUCUUCAACAGCUGGAAAGAACUUCGGUCAGGGAUGAGCUCGCGGCCUAUCAGCUAGUUGGUGAGGUAAUGGCUCACCAAGGCGUCGACGGGUAGCCAGCCUGAGAGGGUGACCGGCCACACUGGGACUGAGACACGGCCCAGACUCCUACGGGAGGCAGCAGUGGGGAAUAUUGCACAAUGGGCGCAAGCCUGAUGCAGCAACGCCGCGUGAGGGACGACGGCCUUCGGGUUGUAAACCUCUUUUAGCAGGGAAGAAGCGAAAGUGACGGACCUCA
rnacentral:rRNA from 1 species